rnacentral:rRNA from 1 species
CCCUUAGAUGUCCUGGGCUGCACGCGCGCUACACUGAUGUGUCCAGUAAGCACCUAACCUAUUCCGAGAGGAGCGGGUAACCUUAGCAAAGCACAUCGUGAUGGGGAUAGAUUAUUGCAAUUAUUAGUCUUGAACGAGGAAUUCCUAGUAAGCACAAGUCAUCAGCUUGUGUUGAUUACGUCCCUGCCCUUUGUACACACCGCCCGUCGCUCCUACCGAUUGAAUGUUCCGGUGAGCUCUUCGGACCGCGCGGUCUGCAGUUUCUGCGUUCCGUGCGGAAAGUUGUGCAAACCUUAACAUUUAGAGGAAGGAGAAGUCGUANCA